GCCAUAGUCUAGAUAAAUAGCGAGAAUUAAGAAUAUAUUGAGAUCUCGAUAAAAUUUAUAAAUUUUGGAUGAAAGAGGAACUUCACGAGUAGAUUUUUUUAGUAAUAUAGAUUCAAUAUUAAUUGACAGAAGUCUACGUUAUCGACUGUUGCAUGUCAACAAUGGAUAACCAAUUCGGCUAUAGAUGUGAAAAAAUUUAAGGGGCCAUUCUUAAAGUUAAAAUAAAAUAAAAAUCAAGAAUAAAAAAAUUGCGCUUUCGACUUUCUGUUUUAGUUAUUGACAAUUAAACAUUAACCGAAAUAUCCCCGUGAGCGAGUAAACCUUCUUACACGAACGAAAGUGGAUCAGCUUAAGCAGCAAGGUGUACAGGAUCCUCAAAUUGAACGCUACAUGGGCAGCAGGUUAUCUCGUACAAGUUUUUUUACACCUGUAGCCAAAAACUCUAAGAGGCACAAUACUUUAACUACGAGAAUAUAAGAAUACUGAAAUACUGCAUACUGAACGAUUUAAAAAAUCUCAUGCAAAUAAGCGGAAUACUUCGUUACCUGGCUCUCUUGUCUCUAGAUAGUAACCUGUGGCCUGUUUCGCUAAGUUCCAGCCAAUCUACACGGACAUCAUGAGAAACCAUUGUAACAGUAAGCCCAGUUACCAGGUCCAUGAUGCGAACAGUUUUUGGAUCCAACAAAUAAGCGAGUCUUUUAUUAUCCGGUGCUUCAGCAGUCUGUCUCUCAUUGAUCCUCACACUAACUACAUGAGGAUUUACUGCUUCUGUUCUUACUGAGCCCAAUGCCUCAUUGUUCCCAUACUCAACUAUGGAAAUUUCACUGAUAAGAUUUAGUUCAAUGUCAGCUAGAAGUAGAGUGUUAGCUGUGCGAGCUAUCACAUUAUUGUCAGCUCGUCCUAGGACUUUGACAUCCUCUAUUUCAUAGCCUGUUUGGGAUCUAAUAAUUACUGGCCGAUUGCCCUCUUGUAAUGGACGAAUCACUACUUGGUUGGGUCCAACGUAGGCCACUUCGUGACUUCCUCUGAUUACUGUUCUCUUCAGGACUGUUUCGAAUUGCUCUACUGCACCGCAGAGGCUGCCUACAAGUAACCUGGAAAGUUAAUAAUAUAUAAUUUUUAUCUUUUUUAUUCUGUAUAUACAUAUAUUCUUUGCUUUUUAUUUUCAAAUAGUUUUCUAACUUUUUCUUCUUUAUUUUUUAUUUUCUAAAUUCCCUCAUAUCUUCUAUCAUUUCAGGGUUAUAAUUUGGUCUAACUGCAUGGAACAGUUUAUAUAGGCUGACCUGGAACCAUCACGACGCCAGGAUAUCGCAGUGACUGUAUAGAAAUUAGGCAAAGAUCGUGUAUUUGCCUCUUCCCAAAUGGAACGUCGAGGACUCCAAUCCAAAAUUCGUAUUUUGUCCCAAGAUCCGAUAGCAACACUCUGUCCACUGGGACUACAGCAGGCCACAGCGAUUUCUUUUUCGUUCUCGCGACUGUAGUCGAAAUUUUUCACUAACUUUCCACGCGAAUCGUAAAAUGACACUCGUCUGUCGCAUCCUGCAGCCAGAACAUGCGAUUGUGUCCAAGCUAAUGCGUAUGCUGGUACUGUAUGAGUACAGAUACGUCCAGAAGGCUCGUGAUUUCCAUCGGCGGUUAAAUGAUACUUUAUUAUGCUACCGUCAGCGUGACUUGAUAAGAAAGCGGUUCCUCGUACACUGAAAUUAAAGAUAAGAUGAUGAUUUUAUUUAAAUUAGAUAUAUUAUAAAGAAAUUU